UCAAGUAAUUAAGUGCAUGUGGUGGAUGCCUUGGCAGUCAGAGGCGAUGAAAGACGUGAUAGCCUGCGAAAAGCUCCGGGGAGGCGGCAAAUAUCCUUUGAUCCGGAGAUGUCUGAAUGGGGGAACCCACCUACUUUAAGGUAGGUAUUGCAACAUGAAUACAUAGUGUUGCAAGGCGAACGAGGGGAAGUGAAACAUCUCAGUACCCUUAGGAAAAGAAAUCAAUUGAGAUUCCCUCAGUAGCGGCGAGCGAACGGGGAUCAGCCCAUUAAGUUAUGUGUGUUUUAGUGGAACGCUCUGGGAAGUGCGAACGUAGAGGGUGAUAUUCCCGUACACGAAAGGGCACACAUAAUGAUGACGAGUAGGGCGAGGCACGUGAAACCUUGUCUGAAUAUGGGGGGACCAUCCUCCAAGGCUAAAUACUCCUGACUGACCGAUAGUGAACCAGUACCGUGAGGGAAAGGCGAAAAGAACCCCUGUGAGGGGAGUGAAAUAGAUCCUGAAACCGCAUGCAUACAAGCAGUGGGAGCACCUUCGUGGUGUGACUGCGUACCUUUUGUAUAAUGGGUCAGCGACUUAUAUUCAGUAGCGAGGUUAACCGUAUAGGGGAGCCGUAGAGAAAUCGAGUCUUAAUAGGGCGUUUAGUUGCUGGGUAUAGACCCGAAACCAGGCGAUCUAUCCAUGAGCAGGUUGAAGGUUGGGUAACACUAACUGGAGGACCGAACCCACUGUCGUUGAAAAGCCAGGGGAUGACUUGUGGAUAGGGGUGAAAGGCUAAUCAAGCCUGGUGAUAGCUGGUUCUCCCCGAAAGCUAUUUAGGUAGCGCCUCGGACGAAUACCAUAGGGGGUAGAGCACUGUUUCGGCUAGGGGGUCAUCCCGACUUACCAAACCGAUGCAAACUCCGAAUACCUAUGAGUACUAUCCGGGAGACAGACUGCGGGUGCUAACGUCCGUAGUCAAGAGGAAAACAAUCCAGACCGCCAGCUAAGGCCCCAAAAUCAUAGUUAAGUGGGAAACGAUGUGGGAAGGCAUAGACAGCUAGGAGGUUGGCUUAGAAGCAGCCACCCUUUAAAGAAAGCGUAAUAGCUCACUAGUCGAGUCGGCCUGCGCGGAAGAUGUAACGGGGCUAAAACUAUGUGCCGAAGCUGCGGAUGUAUACUUUGUAUACGUGGUAGGGGAGCGUUCUGUAAGCCGAUGAAGGUGUGUUGAGAAGCAUGCUGGAGGUAUCAGAAGUGCGAAUGCUGACGUGAGUAACGACAAAACGGGUGAAAAACCCGUUCGCCGAAAGACCAAGGGUUCCAGUCCAACGUUAAUCGGGGCUGGGUGAGUCGACCCCUAAGGCGAGGCCGAAAGGCGUAGUCGAUGGGAAAAUGGUUAAUAUUCCAUUACUUCUGUGUAAUGCGAUGAGAGGACGGAGAAGGCUAAAUCAGCCUGGCGUUGGUUGUCCAGGUGAAAGGAUGUAGGCAUGUAUCUUAGGCAAAUCCGGGGUACUCUAUGCUGAGAUCUGAUAGCAAGCUGUACUUGUACAGCGAAGUGGUUGAUGCCAUGCUUCCAGGAAAAGUCUCUAAGCUUCAGUUACACAGGAAUCGUACCCGAAACCGACACAGGUGGUCAGGUCGAGUAGACCAAGGCGCUUGAGAGAACUCUGCUGAAGGAACUAGGCAAAAUGGUACCGUAACUUCGGGAGAAGGUACGCUGUUGUUGGUGAUGGAACUCGCUUCCUGAGCUGACGACAGCCGCAGAAACCAGGCCGCUGCAACUGUUUAUUAAAAACAUAGCACUCUGCAAACACGAAAGUGGACGUAUAGGGUGUGAUGCCUGCCCGGUGCUGGAAGGUUAAUUGAUGGGGUUAGCGUAAGCGAAGCUCUUGAUCGAAGCCCCAGUAAACGGCGGCCGUAACUAUAACGGUCCUAAGGUAGCGAAAUUCCUUGUCGGGUAAG
rnacentral:rRNA from 1 species